UACGGGGGAGCAAGCGUUGUUCGGAUUUACUGGGCGUAAAGGGCGCGUAGGCGGUCAGCACAAGUCAGUUGUGAAAUCUCCGGGCUUAACUCGGAAAGGUCAACUGAUACUGUGCGACUAGAGUGCAGAAGGGGCAACUGGAAUUCGUCGGUGUAGCGGUGAAAUGCGUAGAUAUCGAGAGGAACACCUGCGGCGAAGGCGGGUUGCUGGGCUGACACUGACGCUGAUGCGCGAAAGCCAGGGGAGCGAACGGG
rnacentral:rRNA from 1 species